rnacentral:lncRNA from 10 species
UGACUGUGCCUGAGGAGCACCUGGAUCCAGCCAUGCCUGAAAUAUAACAUCAUAAACACACUGGUGAAGAAGAGUUAUAGUCAGAGUACCACUCGAAUUGAAGCUUUAAACUGUCAAUAAGCCACCUGCAAUCCCUCGGUGUAGAGAAAAGGAGAACUUGGACAUCUUGAUUUCUCACCAGGUAUUCAGAGGUCACCUACCUGGUUGGUUCCCUCUUAGAGUGUGACAUCUUUAAAGUGGGCUAUGAAGCCCUUUGCCUAAGACCUUGCUUUCCCAAGGGGCAGCUAUUCACAUCUAGCAGACAACACACUAGUGUAGACAUCUCAGUGCACUUGGCAAGCCUCUGAAGCCUCUUCUUGUAAGUCAGGCCAGCAAUGGCCCUUGCACUGGCAAGCAUCUUGCUCAAGCUCUUAAGUGAUCAUAAUAAAGUGAUUAACACAGAGUGCCCAGCACAGUGAUUACUUCUGAUUAGAGGUGGGUGGUGCAUUAGUCAACACCAGGCAGAAAAGCCCAGCAAUGUUUCUGAGCAGACUCAGGAAGAGAUAGUUGUUCUCAAACUUGAGUAUGCAUCAGAAUCACAGAAUGAUGGUGAAGGGGGGUGGGGAGUGAGGGUGGGGUUGGGAAGACUUGUUAAGACACACACUGCUGAGCCCUACCCCUAGAGUUUCUGAUUCAGCAGGUCAGAGUGGGCCCCUAGAAUCUGCAUUUCUCACAAGUUCGCAGGUACUGCUGGUUGGGGGGCUAUACACUGAAAAUCACUGUUAGAAGACUGCUGAAUUGGACAAAGGCCCCUCAAAGGAGAAAUGAUCCAGCACUUGGUUUUUCUGCUUCCCUGAAACCCUCAUCUCAACAAAGAUGCCCUGUUAUCUCCACUGUGGGUCCUGAAGCCUUAGACAAGUACAGAAGUGAAAUGUACAUCUACAUAAAAAAAUGAUACACAGUACUAACUUCAUGCCUGUGGGUAUAGAGCCAGAAAUGUCACAGCACACCUGCAUAUCUAUCACAUUGUCACAGCAGCCCCUAGAUGCAAUUAUUCCUGAAUUACAGAGAAACAAAUGGAGGUACCAGGCAGCUGUGACUGUUGUCUACAGAGAAGACACACGUGGAAGGCAAUUUUUCUUGGUCAUGAAAAUUGUCAAAUGUACAUAAAGGUGAAAUAAAUAGUGUAAUAAAUCCC